AACGAACGCUGGCGGCAGGCUUAACACAUGCAAGUCGAGCGCCCCGCAAGGGGAGCGGCAGACGGGCGAGUAACGCAUGGGAAGCGUCACAUCUCUAUGGAAUAACGCAUGGACACGGGUGAUAAUACCGAAUACGUCCUUCGGGAGGAAGAUUUAUCGGAGAUGGAUGGGCCCGCGGUGGAUUAGCUAGUUGGUGGGGUAAAGGCCUACCAAGGCGACGAUCCAUAGCUGGUCUGAGAGGAUGAUCAGCCACACUGGGACUGAGACACGGCCCAGACUCCUACGGGAGGCAGCAGUGGGGAAUAUUGGACAAUGGGCGCAAGCCUGAUCCAGCCAUGCCGCGUGAGUGAUGAAGGCCCUAGGGUUGUAAAGCUCUUUCACCGGUGAAGAUAAUGACGGUAACCGGAGAAGAAGCCCCGACUAACUUCGUGCCAGCCGCCGCCGUAAUAC
rnacentral:rRNA from 1 species